GCCUCUGUAGCUCAGUGGAUAGAGCAUUGGUUUCCUAAACCAUGUGCCCGGGUUCGAGUCCCGGCAGGGGCACCA
rnacentral:tRNA from 1 species